UACGUAGGGUGCAAGCGUUGUCCGGAAUUAUUGGGCGUAAAGAGCUCGUAGGCGGUCUGUCACGUCGGCUGUGAAAACCCGAGGCUCAACCUCGGGCCUGCAGUCGAUACGGGCGAGCUAGAGUUCGGCAGGGGAGACUGGAAUUCCUGGUGUAGCGGUGGAAUGCGCAGAGUAUCAGGAGGAACACCGGUGGCGAAGGCGGGUCCCUGGGCCGAUACUGACACGUCGAGGAAGCGAAAGGCGUGGGGAG
rnacentral:rRNA from 1 species